rnacentral:sRNA from 1 species
ACACAGGGAAGGAGGUGGUCCGGCAAAUUGAGUGACUUAUGGACAUGUGAGGUGGCUGCCCGCUAGCAGCACCGGGGAAGUCGAGCACCGACCUCAGUGCGCUGGCGAAUUCCCCGCAGUCACCCGGCCCCCGAGCCCUUCGGUCCGUCCACCCAGGAACCAACGGCUCGGGGGUCGCCCACA